GGGCCGCUAGCUCAGCCGGUAGAGCAUUGCCCUUUUAAGGCAGUGGUCGUGGGUUCGAAUCCCGCGCGGCUCA
rnacentral:tRNA from 1 species